CACGUAGGCGGAUAUUUAAGUCAGGGGUGAAAUCCCAGAGCUCAACUCUGGAACUGCCUUUGAUACUGGGUAUCUCGAGUAUGGAAGAGGUGAGUGGAAUUCCGAGUGUAGAGGUGAAAUUCGUAGAUAUUCGGAGGAACACCAGUGGCGAAGGCGGGCUCACUGGUCCAUUACUGACGCUGAGGUGCGAAAGCGUGGGAGCAAACA
rnacentral:rRNA from 1 species